UACGGAGGAUCCAAGCGUUAUCCGGAUUUAUUGGGUUUAAAGGGUGCGUAGGCGGCCAAUUAAGUCAGGGGUGAAAGACGGUAGCUUAACUAUCGCAGUGCCUUUGAUACUGAUUGCUUGAAUACACUAGAGGUAGGCGGAAUGUGACAAGUAGCGGUGAAAUGCAUAGAUAUGUCACAGAACACCAAUUGCGAAGGCAGCUUACUAUGGUGUGAUUGACGCUGAGGCACGAAAGCGUGGGGAUCAAACAGG
rnacentral:rRNA from 1 species